rnacentral:rRNA from 1 species
UACGUAGGGUGCGAGCGUUGUCCGGAAUUACUGGGCGUAAAGAGCUCGUAGGUGGUUUGUCGCGUUGUUCGUGAAAACUCACAGCUCAACUGUGGGCGUGCGGGCGAUACGGGCAGACUAGAGUGUUGCAGGGGAGACUGGAAUUCCUGGUGUAGCGGUGAAAUGCGCAGAUAUCAGGAGGAACACCGGUGGCGAAGGCGGGUCUCUGGGCAACAACUGACGCUGAGGAGCGAAAGCGUGGGGAGCGAACAGG